rnacentral:rRNA from 1 species
AUUGAACGCUGGCGGCAUGCCUUACACAUGCAAGUCGAACGGCAGCACGGGAGCAAUCCUGGUGGCGAGUGGCGAACGGGUGAGUAAUAUAUCGGAACGUGCCCAGUCGUGGGGGAUAACGUAGCGAAAGCUACGCUAAUACCGCAUACGACCUAUGGAUGAAAGCGGGGGAUCGCAAGACCUCGCGCGAUUGGAGCGGCCGAUAUCAGAUUAGGUAGUUGGUGAGGUAAAGGCUCACCAAGCCGACGAUCUGUAGCUGGUCUGAGAGGACGGCCAGCCACGCUGGGACUGAGACACGGCCCAGACUCCUACGGGAGGAAGCAGUGGGGAAUUUUGGACAAUGGGCGCAAGCCUGAUCCAGCAAUGCCGCGUGCAGGAUGAAGGCCUUCGGGUUGUAAACUGCUUUUGUACGGAACGAAACGGCGAGCUCUAAUACAGUUUGCUAAUGACGGUACCGUAAGAAUAAGCACCGGCUAACUACGUGCCAGCAGCCGCCGUAA